rnacentral:rRNA from 1 species
AUACGGAGGGUGCAAGCGUUAUCCGGAUUUACUGGGUUUAAAGGGUACGCAGGCGGUAAUUUAAGUCAGUGGUGAAAGCCUACAGCUCAACUGUAGAACUGCCAUUGACACUGAAUUACUUGAGUAUGGUAGAGGUAGGCGGAAUACAACAUGUAGCGGUGAAAUGCAUAGAUAUGUUGUAGAACACCGAUUGCGAAGGCAGCUUACUAAACCAUUACUGACGCUCAUGUACGAAAGCGUGGGGAGCGAACAGGAUUAGAAACCCGAGUAGUCC